rnacentral:rRNA from 1 species
UCUACGGAGAGUUUGAUUCUGGCUCAGGACGAACGCUGGCGGCGUGCUUAACACAUGCAAGUCGAACGGUGAAGCCCAGCUUGCUGGGUGGAUCAGUGGCGAACGGGUGAGUAAC